rfam:Lyngbya confervoides BDT141951 scaffold_233, whole genome shotgun sequence.
CCUGGUGCCUAUGGCGGUCUGGAACCACGCCGAUUCCAUCCCGAACUCGGUUGUGAAACAGGUCUGCGGCGAAGAUACUUUGGGGGUUGCCCCAUGGGAAAUUAGCUCGGUGCCAGGU